UACGUAGGGUGCGAGCGUUGUCCGGAAUUAUUGGGCGUAAAGCGCGCGCAGGCGGUCCUUUAAGUCUGAUGUGAAAGCCCACGGCUCAACCGUGGAGGGUCAUUGGAAACUGGGGGACUUGUGUGCAGAAGAGGAAAGCGGAAUUCCACGUGUAGCGGUGAAAUGCGUAGAGAUGUGGAGGAACACCAGUGGCGAAGGCGGCUUUCUGGUCUGUAACUGACGCUGAGGCGCGAAAGCGUGGGGAGCAAACAGG
rnacentral:rRNA from 1 species